GACGAACGCUGGCGGCGUGCUUAACACAUGCAAGUCGAGCGGAAAGGCCCUGCUUGCGCGUGGUGCCCGCGUGGCGAACGGGUGUGUAACCUGUGAGUAUCCUGGCCUUGACUUUGGGACAACUUCAGGCAGCUGGGGCUACUACCUGAUAGGUGCUCGUGCUGCAGGGUGGGGGUUGGACAGUUUCGGCUGUUGGGGAUCGACUCGCGGCUUAUCAGCUUGUUGGUGGGGUAGUGGCUUACCAAGGGAUUGGUGGGUAGCCGGCCUGGGAGCGUGGACGGGCACAUUGCGACUGAGGGAGGGAGCAGAGUGGAAUGGUGGGCAGCAGUGGGAAGUAUUGCACAGUGGGCGGAAGCGUGAGGAAGAGGCGCUGCGUGCGGGAUGACGGCCUUCGGGGUGUAAACCGCUGUAGGCUGUGACCAAGCGGGAGUGACGGUAAUGGGUAAAGAAGCACCGGCUAACUACGUG
rnacentral:rRNA from 1 species